ensembl:lncRNA
UUGCUGCAAUAGACCCGUCAUUGUGUUUCUUAACUCUGAGCUUAACUCACACCACAUCAGCAAAGCAGCACAAUAGAGCCCAUCUCACCAUGUCACGGCUUGUCCGGCCCACACAGACACGAAGCAGUUCCCUCACCAGUUUUAGUGCCAGGCCUCGAAAUUCACCUAAAGUCAAAUAUGGCAUGAAAAGCAUGUGUGCUAGCUUUCUUUUCAAUCGAAUAGUCUUGUUUAUUGUUGUUGUUGUUGUUUUGUUUUACAGUUUUGGUGCCGAAUUUUGAAGCACAAUCCCAACAUAAUCUGGUGAGAAGAAUGGUUCCUUGUGUUCGUUCUCGGUAUGUGAGUGUAGAUCAGGACCUGCCUGAUCCAUCUUGAUUCCCUACCUCUGGAUGGAGCUCUCAUCAACUGGAGGCUACAUUCUACCACUGCGAAAGACUCCAAGCGGUGCAGCCUGGAGAUCGCUGAGGACGGUACCGCUUGAAGUACCAUGGAAAUGGUUCUGGA